rnacentral:rRNA from 1 species
GGCGGAAUGCUUUACACAUGCAAGUCGAACGGCAGCAUAGAGAGCUUGCUCUCUGAUGGCGAGUGGCGAACGGGUGAGUAAUAUAUCGGAACGUGCCUAGUAAUGGGGAAUAACUAGCUGAAAGGUUAGCUAAUGCCGCAUACGACCUACGGGUGAAAGCAGGGGAUCUUUGGACCUUGCGUUAUUAGAGCGGCCGAUAUCUGAUUAGCUUGUUGGUGGGGUAAUAGCCUACCAAGGCGACGAUCAGUAGCUGGUCUGAGAGGACGAUCAGCCACACUGGAACUGAGACACGGUCCAGACUCCUACGGGAGGCAGCAGUGGGGAAUUUUGGACAAUGGGGGCAACCCUGAUCCAGCCAUUCCGCGUGAGUGAAGAAGGCCUUCGGGUUGUAAAGCUCUUUCGCAAGAGAAGAAAACUUACUAUCUAAUAAAUAGUAAGUAUGACGGUAUCUUGACAAGAAGCACCGGCUAACUACGUGCCAGCAGCCGCGGUAAUACGUAGGGUGCAAGCGUUAAUCGGAAUUACUGGGCGUAAAGCGUGCGCAGGCAGUUUUAUAAGUCAGAUGUGAAAUCCCCGAGCUCAACUUGGGAACUGCGUUUGAAACUGUAAGACUAGAGUGUGUCAGAGGGGGGUAGAAUUCCAAGUGUAGCAGUGAAAUGCGUAGAGAUUUGGAGGAAUACCAAUGGCGAAGGCAGCCCCCUGGGAUAACACUGACGCUCAUGCACGAAAGCGUGGGGAGCAAACAGGAUUAGAUACCCUGGUAGUCCACGCCCUAAACGAUGUCUACUAGUUGUUGGUGGAGUAAAAUCCAUGAGUAACGCAGCUAACGCGUGAAGUAGACCGCCUGGGGAGUACGGUCGCAAGAUUAAACUC